UACGGAGGGUGCGAGCGUUGUCCGGAAUCAUUGGGCGUAAAGGGCGCGUAGGUGGCCCGGUCAGUCAGUGGUGAAAGCGCGGGGCUCAACUCCGCGUCGGCCAUUGAUACUGCCCGGCUAGAGGUAGGUAGGGGAGAUCGGAAUUCCUGGUGUAGCGGUGAAAUGACGCAGAUAUCAGGAGGAACACCGGUGGCGAAGGCGGAUCUCUGGGCCUUACCUGACGCUCAGGCGCGAAAGCUAGGGGAGCGAACUGG
rnacentral:rRNA from 1 species